UACAGAGGUGGCAAGCGUUGUUCGGAAUUACUGGGCGUAAAGGGCGCGUAGGCGCCUUGUCAGUCAGACGUGAAAUCCCCAGGCUUAACCUGGGAACUGCGUCUGAUACUACAAGGCUGGAGUUCGGGAGAGGAAUGUGGAAUUCCAGGUGUAGCGGUGAAAUGCGUAGAUAUCUGGAGGAACACCCGUGGCGAAGGCGGCCAGCUGGGCCGUCCCUGACGCUGAGGCGCGAAAGCCAGGGGAGCAAACGGG
rnacentral:rRNA from 1 species